rnacentral:pre_miRNA from 1 species
UUUUUAGUAUAAGUGUAUGCCAUACAAUAUUUGAAACAUACUUAUACUAAAA